AUUGAACGCUGGCGGCAGGCCUAACACAUGCAAGUCGAGCGAGCGGCGGACGGGUGAGUAAUGUAUGGGGACUGCCCGAUAGAGGGGGAUAACUACUGGAAACGGUGGCUAAUACCGCAUACUAUCGGAUAACCCAUAUGGGAUUAGCUAGUAGGUGGGGGAAAGGCUCACCUAGGCGACGAUCUCUAGCUGGUCUGAGAGGAUGACCAGCCACACUGCGACUGAGACGCCGCCAAGCCUACUGCGGAGGGAGCAGGGGGGAAUAUGGCACAUGCGGCGCAAGCCUGAUGCAGCCAUGCCGCGUGUAUGAAGACGGCCUUAGGGUUAAAAAGUACUUUCAGCGGGGAGGCGUUCCCCGCAGAAGAAGCACCGGAUAACUCCGUGCCAGCAGCCGCGGUAA
rnacentral:rRNA from 1 species